CUACAACUCGGUCUAAUAAUGUUUCGCUUGUUUUUUGCAUUUAUUUAUGCAUUUUCUCUCCCAUAUUUUAUAUGUAUGGGUACUCUGAAAAGUCAAGAAGCAUGGAGAAAGACAGUGAAGGGACGAGUAAUGUCCAACGUCAGCAUGACACUCUACUGGUGGAUCCAACAACACUUUUCGUAUGAAUUAGUUAGGGACGAGGCCGAAUGGGAUGCUAUUGGCGGUGAUGUGUACGAGGAGUUUGAAUUUGAAUAGCUUUCAUAAAAAGGCUGGAUAAAAUACUGUGAAAUAUUUGUAAUCUGCCAAAGUUUCAAGUACAUCAUUUUGAUUUCAAAGUUACAA
rnacentral:sRNA from 1 species